CGGGAUGCAGCAGUGGGGAAUUUUGGACAAUGGGGGCAACCCUGAUCCAGCAAUGCCGCGUGAGUGAAGAAGGCCUUCGGGUUGUAAAGCUCUUUUGUCGGGGAAGAAACGGCAUGGCCCAAUACGCUAUGCUAAUGACGGUACCCGAAGAAUAAGCACCGGCUAACUACGUGCCAGCAGCCGCGGUAAUACGUAGGGUGCAAGCGUUAAUCGGAAUUACUGGGCGUAAAGCGUGCGCAGGCGGUUAUGUAAGACAGAUGUGAAAUGCCCGGGCUUAACCUGGGAACUGCAUUUGUGACUGCAUGGCUAGAGUGUGUCAGAGGGGGGUAGAAUUCCACGUGUAGCAGUGAAAUGCGUAGAGAUGUGGAGGAAUACCGAUGGCGAAGGCAGCCCCCUGGGAUAACACUGACGCUCAUGCACGAAAGCGUGGGGAGCAAACAGGAUUAGAUACCCCUGU
rnacentral:rRNA from 1 species